rnacentral:rRNA from 1 species
GUCUUUUUGAUUAUAAUUUAAAGUCUAACCUGCCCUAUGAUUAUUUAAAUGGCCGCGGUAUUUUGACCGUGCAAAGGUAGCAUAAUCAUUAGUUUUUUAAUUGAAAGCUGGAAUGAAUGGUUGAACGAGAAAAUUACUGUCUCAAUUUAAAUUAUAUUAUAAUUUUAUUUUUAAGUUAAAAAGCUUAAAUAAUUUUAAAAGACGAGAAGACCCUAUAGAGUUUUAUAUUAAUAUAAAUAUGUAUAUACUUAUAAUUUUUAUUAUUUAUUUUAAUAUUUUAUUGGGGUGAUAAAUAAAUUAAUCAAACUUUAUUUUUUUUUUUAACAUAAAUUUAUGAUUUGAUGAUCCAUUAAUAAUGAUUAUAAGAUUAAAUUACCUUAGGGAUAACAGCGUUAUCUUUUUAGAGAGUUCUAAUCGAAAAAAAGGAUUGCGACCUCGAUGUUGGAUUAAAAUUAAUUUUUGGUGUAGAAGCUAAAAAUCUUAAGUCUGUUCGACUUUUAAAAUUUUACAUGAUCUGAGUUUAAACCGGUGUGAGCCAGGUUGGUUUCUAUCUUUAAAUUAAUUAAAUAUUUUAGUACGAAAGGACCAAAUAUUUAUAAUAUUUAUUAAUAUUUAUGAAUUU